rnacentral:rRNA from 1 species
ACAAUCAUCCGCCUGAGAACUACGAGCACAAACGCUUAAAACUCUAAGGACUUGGCGGUGCUCUAAACCCACCUAGAGGAGCCUGUUCUAUAAUCGAUAACCCACGAUUCACCCGACCACUUCUUGCCAAAACAGCCUAUAUACCGCCGUCGCCAGCCCACCUCGUGAGAACAUAACAGUGGGCCCAACAGCCUACAGCCCACUAACAAGACAGGUCGAGGUAUAGCCUAUGAAGUGGAAGAAAUGGGCUACAUUUUCUAAAAUAGAAAACCCAACGAAAAGGGACCUGAAACCUGUCCCCAGAAGGCGGAUUUAGCAGUAAAGUAGGAUGACC